rnacentral:rRNA from 1 species
CUACGGGAGGCAGCAGUGGGGAAUUUUGGACAAUGGGGGCAACCCUGAUCCAGCAAUGCCGCGUGAGUGAAGAAGGCCUUCGGGUUGUAAAGCUCUUUUGUCAGGGAAGAAACGGUGGUCGCUAAUAUCGGCUGCUAAUGACGGUACCUGAAGAAUAAGCACCGGCUAACUACGUGCCAGCAGCCGCGGUAAUACGUAGGGUGCAAGCGUUAAUCGGAAUUACUGGGCGUAAAGCGUGCGCAGGCGGUUAUAUAAGUCAGAUGUGAAAUCCCCGGGCUCAACCUGGGAACUGCAUUUGAGACUGUAUAGCUAGAGUGUGUCAGAGGGGGGUAGAAUUCCACGUGUAGCAGUGAAAUGCGUAGAGAUGUGGAGGAAUACCGAUGGCGAAGGCAGCCCCCUGGGAUAACACUGACGCUCAUGCACGAAAGCGUGGGGAGCAAACAGGAUUAGAUACCCCGGUAGUCCU